rnacentral:rRNA from 1 species
CCUAGUAUGAAUNGCACCACGAAAGUUCAACUGUCUCCUAUAUCUAAUCAGUGAAACUGAUCUCCCCGUGCAGAAGCGGGGAUAUCAACAUAAGACGAGAAGACCCCAUGGAGCUUUAAACUCUAAGCACCCACUUUACCUAUAAACCCCACGGAUUAAAUUUGUAAUCAAGUGGACAUGACCCACUGUUUUCGGUUGGGGCGACCACGGAGAAAAACACAUCCUCCGAGACGAAAGGGCAUACACCCUUAACCUAGAGCCACUACUCCAAGUAAUAGAACCUCUAACUCCAUGAUCCAAUCUUUUGAUCAACGAACCAAGUUACCCUGGGGAUAACAGCGCAAUCCAUUUUAAGAGUCCAUAUCGACAAAUGGGUUUACGACCUCGAUGUUGGAUCAGGGUGUCCUAGUGGUGCAGCCGCCACUAAGGGUUCGUUUGUU